GGGCGUGUGGCGUAGUGGUAUCGCGUUUGCUUCGCAUUCUACAUUGGUGCCCACCAAUGGCGUCUGUAAAGGUCACCGGUUCGAUCCCGGUCACGUCCA